rnacentral:rRNA from 1 species
UACGGAGGGAGCUAGCGUUAUUCGGAAUUACUGGGCGUAAAGCGCACGUAGGCGGCUUUGUAAGUAAGAGGUGAAAGCCCAGAGCUCAACUCUGGAAUUGCCUUUUAGACUGCAUCGCUUGAAUCAUGGAGAGGUCAGUGGAAUUCCGAGUGUAGAGGUGAAAUUCGUAGAUAUUCGGAAGAACACCAGUGGCGAAGGCGGCUGACUGGACAUGUAUUGACGCUG